GUGAGGUUAUGUUUCGUGUUGAUGUAUCUAUGAAAAUAUAACCUCAAAAUCAUAAGGAAAAAGACCACAUUUUGAAAACGGGUCUUAUUAUCGUGUAAAAUGCGAAGCAAGUCAAAUGGAGCCAAAAGGGAAAAACAAUGGGAAAAUGUGAUACCGGGUUAAGGAAGUCAACUUCGUUGACCAGGUUAUUGCUGCGUUCAGGACUCCACGAUGCCACUGUGCCAGAAAGGUUCAUUUGCAGAAAAAUACACACCGAAACAGAGACAUUGCAUACUCCUUUUUUCUAUGUGAACACAGGAACACAGCAGAAACUUAUAUCGGAAAGAAAAAAACAUCAUCUUUAUCCUAACCUUGUCAACAAAUGUGCAGUUGUUUCCAGGAUUAUCAGGACAAAUUAAAUCAGAAGAAAUGUUAAUUGGUGCUUUUUGAUGGAAGGGAAUGAAUGAAAUCGAAUGAGUGCUGAAGGUAUCCAUGGUAUAUUGCUUUCAGUUUCAUACAGACAGUGUCACCACAUUUUUACACAAUUCAUAGUCAAUAGCACAACAUUGGAAUAACUAGUUAACUUCCCGAAGAAUUGGUUACAAUUUCCAACCAAUUUCCCGAUAAUUUUAUUUCCGAGAGCAGUAUUUCAUGAUAUUGUUACCAAUGACAUUUUUUUAGUUGGGUUACUAUAAUUUGGUCAUUUUGACCUAAGCUGGAACUGCCAUUUUUGGAGUUGGUAAUGGUAUGUACUAUUUUUUUUAAUUGAACUAGAUUGAAGCGGAACACAUUGUUUGUUGGUAUCAGGCCUUCAAUCAUUUUCUUAUUUAAGAUUUAUUUUAUUAUUGGAAAAAGAAAUAAAAAAUAAAAAAUCAAAUAUAUUGGAGAGAAAUAUUUCUUUUGAGUUAUAAGCACUCAAAGCUGCAAGUCAUAAAAACCAAUGGGCAGUAAAGACCAGAGACAGGAAAUUGAUAGUAACAAAAGCCUGAUACUCGAAUGUUUAUGCGAAAAACUUGAUGUCGUAAAAUAAUAGUCAAAAAAUGGUAUCGAGUGAUGAAGAAUUUUUGUAGAACUCCAAAUUAUCUGAAAACACAAAUGGAAUGCGUUUUUGUAAAAGUUAUGCACACAAUGACGUCGAGCCACUGUUCUUAUCUAAUUUUUUGCUGCGUUGAACGAGUUGUAUUUGAAUUGUGCCGAUAUGAGCUCGAGAUGAAAAAAUGUAACACAGGAAAAUGGAAUUUGAUGUCCCAUGAUAUUCAACAUUUAUCAGCGUUUACAUAAUCGACAGACUAGGAAUGCUUAUAAAAAUAGUAUAGUCCAGCAGAUUAAAUCAGCUCAAGAAUAUUAUCGUUGAAUUAAUUUGUUAUCUUACUCCAUAAUACAUACUCACGAUAUUCGAGUAUACACGUGAAUAGUAUAAUAUUAAUAUCGAACUGCUUUGCGAAUGAAUGUAGUAAAGGUUUUGAUAGACUAUUUAUUUUUAAUUAUCAUUUGGCACACACGAUUGAGGCUAUUCAUAAGCGACGGUUUUUCAAAAUGUCAUUGAUAGACAAAUAGCUCUCGUUACUUUGGCUUCCCCUUCGCUUAUCAGCAUUAUUUUGUUUUCCUACGGAAUGCAAUUGGCCAUGAGAUAUGAAGAUUUGAGACCAGGUCGUAGAUUUAUUAAUUACUCUCCCAAGAAUUGACGCAUAUUUAUAGUACACUAUCACAUCCUCAUCGAAUUACAUUCUAAUAGAAUAUUUUCACUACUUUUCAGAGGCCAUCGACGAGUUUAAACAUCUAUGAUAUUUUCUGUUCGCAGCGAUAUGUUUCAGUUCGCUAACGAAGAUACGCUAUUUGACAGUUUCAACAAUUCCAUUCUUUCUCGAUAAAGAUCGACGUUUCAAACUCCAGAACAGUAGAGAAGCUGGACAGUCUGGGUUUAUAAAUUCCACUAAAAAUAUAUUGGAGUUCCGGAUCAUCGUGGCGCGUUCAGUAAAACGCCCAUGUGAUGGAACAGUUCACAUCUCAGUUGCACAGAAUAUUACCACAAAAUUUGACUAAGAAUUCGAGAGAAGAUAAAUCGCGAUGGGGCAAGGCUUCAAGCAUUUUUGUCUCGACGUACCGAUCGCAAGAUUUUCAAUAAAUUGUGAAAACCAA